GCUGGGACUCAGUGGUAGAGUGCUUGCCUAGCUUGUGUGAGGCCCUGGGUUUGAUUCCCAGCACUGCA
rnacentral:tRNA from 1 species